rnacentral:rRNA from 1 species
UACGUAGGGUGCGAGCGUUAAUCGGAAUUACUGGGCGUAAAGCGUGCGCAGGCGGUUCGUUGUGUCGGCGGUGAAAGCCCCGGGCUUAACCUGGGAACUGCAUUGGUGACUGGCAGGCUAGAGUAUGGGCAGAGGGGGGUAGAAUUCCACGUGUAGCAGUGAAAUGCGUAGAGAUGUGGAGGAAUACCGAUGGCGAAGGCAGCCCCUGGGCCAAUACUGACGCUCAUGCACGAAAGGCGUGG